rnacentral:rRNA from 1 species
GCAAUACGUCAGCGGCAGACGGGUGAGUAACGCGUGGGAACAUACCUUUUGGUUCGGAACAACACAGGGAAACUUGUGCUAAUACCGGAUAAGCCCUUACGGGGAAAGAUUUAUCGCCGAAAGAUUGGCCCGCGUCUGAUUAGCUAGUUGGUAGGGUAAUGGCCUACCAAGGCGACGAUCAGUAGCUGGUCUGAGAGGAUGAUCAGCCACAUUGGGACUGAGACACGGCCCAAACUCCUACGGGAGGCAGCAGUGGGGAAUAUUGGACAAUGGGGGCAACCCUGAUCCAGCCAUGCCGCGUGAGUGAUGAAGGCCCUAGGGUUGUAAAGCUCUUUUGUGCGGGAAGAUAAUGACGGUACCGCAAGAAUAAGCCCCGGCUAACUUCGUGCCAGCAGCCGCGGUAAUACGAAGGGGGCUAGCGUUGCUCGGAAUCACUGGGCGUAAAGGGUGCGUAGGCGGGUCUUUAAGUCAGGGGUGAAAUCCUGGAGCUCAACUCCAGAACUGCCUUUGAUACUGAAGAUCUUGAGUUCGGGAGAGGUGAGUGGAACUGCGAGUGUAGAGGUGAAAUUCGUAGAUAUUCGCAAGAACACCAGUGGCGAAGGCGGCUCACUGGCCCGAUACUGACGCUAGC